UUCCCCCACCACCGUUCGGCGAGGAGUAAGUGCCACCGCUCCGCCUUCUCCUUUUCGCAAUGUUGACGCAAUCUAUAAAUAGUGGAACAAAAGGACCAACUUCCUCGCAGCUUUGCUGAAACUGCACAAAAAAGGCAACCGGGGGGGGGACACACACGCGGUUAUUUUUUGAUUUUAUUUUUCUCUGGUUAAAAGCCGAAUCCUCCUCCUCCCUUCCUCCCUCUCUCUCCUUCCCCCCCUCUCCCCCCCUCUCUACUGGAAGAUCUUUUUUAUUUUCUCUUGCUGCCUCCUAUGCUGGCAACGUCCUGCGAGUGGCUAUUUUGCUUUUGCACCGAGAGAAGACCUUCCUCCCUCGCCCUCUCUUCUGACACUUAUGGAUGAAAUCUACACUGAUGUCUAACCUGUAACAAGUGACAAUGUCUCUAGACUGGAUCCAGUUGGCAACUGUUUCCCACUCCUGACAUAAGAGGACCUAUGCAAGAAGUGGGAAAAAAAGCUGAAAGUUCUACAGACAGAACUUUCUCAGGGCCGGUGAAAGUCUAAUGAAUGAAACUGCAUAAGAACUAAGGGCCAUCAGAAAUCUAACUGCACCUUGCUUGAAGAACAAAACAUAUUACUUCAGCCUUACCUCACUAACAUAAAGACAUAAUGUGUAUGGAAGACAGAUACAAUAAACUGAAAACAUUCAAUAGCACAUGCUCCUUCCCUUGGCAACAAAAGAGCAGACAAUAUGACAAGUGCUGGUCAUGUCACUUCUUACUGUAUGAGGAGAUUCUCUGACAAUUUAAUGGCACUCUCUGAGGAGAAGAACCUGUAAUGCAGGACAGGCACUAUGAGGAGGUGUUCAGAAUGAGAAUUGCAUGAAGAAAGGAGUUGAUUGUAGAAACUGCAGCUUAACCUCGUAUCUGCUUCCACAGCAGAUAAGACAUGCACCACUCCGAUGAGUCCAAUUUGUUUGGGAUGGAAAUUUGAUCUAAAAGAUAGACAUUAUUUUUGCUGAGGCUCAAAAUCCCUUUCUUUUCUUUCUGUCCUCAGCUGUGUUCCUGCUGUGGCUUUUUGGCUUGGCUAGUCACUGAGGAAACACACUGAUGAUCCUUUCCCAGAUGCUACAGCUAAAGAAUGCAAUAGCCACCUCCUCUUACAUGGAUUUUUAAACUACAGCAAUUGCCUUUCUAAAUUGUUCUAAUUCUCAGUUAAAUAUUUACCCAUUCUGAUCCACAAA